rnacentral:rRNA from 1 species
AUACGGAGGGAGCGAGCGUUAAUCGGAAUUACUGGGCGUAAAGCGCGCGUAGGCGGCUUUGUAAGUCGGAUGUGAAAGCCCUGGGCUCAACCUGGGAAUGGCAUUCGAAACUGCAGAGCUAGAGUAUGGUAGAGGGAAGUGGAAUUUCCGGUGUAGCGGUGAAAUGCGUAGAUAUCGGAAGGAACACCAGUGGCGAAGGCGACUUCCUGGGCCAAUACUGACGCUGAGGUGCGAAAGCGUGGGGAGCAAACAGGAUUAGAAACCCCAGUAGUCC